rnacentral:rRNA from 1 species
GACGAACGCUGGCGGCGUGCUUAACACAUGCAAGUCGAACGGUGAAGCGCCUUCCUUUUUGGUGGGUGUGGAUGAGUGGCGAACGGGUGAGUAACACGUGAGUAACCUGCCCCCUUCUUCUGGAUAACCGCAUGAAAGUGUUGCUAAUACGGGAUAUUCUGGGUCUGUCGCAUGAUGGGUCUGGGAAAGAUUUUGUUUCGGUGGGGGAUGGGCUCGCGGCUUAUCAGCUUGUUGGUGGGGUGAUGGCCUACCAAGGCGGUGACGGGUAGCCGGCCUGAGAGGGUGGACGGUCACACUGGGAGUGAGACACGGCACAGACUCCUACGGGAGGCAGCAGUGGGGAAUAGUGCACAAUGGGCGCAAGCCUGAUGCAGCGACGCCGCGUGAGGGAUGGAGGCCUUCGGGUUGUGAACCUCUUUCGCCAGUGAAGCAGGCCUGCCUCGUUUGUGGGUGGGUUGACGGUAGCUGGAUAAGAAGCGCCGGCUAACUACGUG